CCGGGCACUGAGGAAGGGUAUCUCUUGGAUGUGGGCUGCUUCCUGUGAAGAAGUGUUGUGUAGCUAGACAGUUCCUUUGCUAGUGGGAAACGAACCUUCAAGAACAUGCUACUGGAGCCAAAUCUGGAACCUUUUGGGUAUGACACAUCAGCCCACCCCUCCCCCUACCAAGUCUAAACAACUGCAAAAUGUGUUUUCCACAAAACCUGGAUGUUUAACUGUCCUAGGCAGCUGAGAUAAGAAAACCCGAGGGGUGUGGUUGCCAAAACUCAAUUAUAAAUUAGCUUACAAUAACCAGUGAGGAAAAGAUAGUUUUAAACAAAUGUUUUACAGUUAAUGAUAUUUUAUUUGUUCUCGCAUAAUCCCUUUCUGUCACAAUUUAUAACACCUGUUAUUUAACCACAAAUAAAACCUGACAUGCUGGUGUUAUGCUGCUGCAUUUUUUGAUAGUGGGCAGAUAGAAAUGUUUCCUUAUUGGACCCAGCUUUUCAGUUAUGUUAUGUUCUAGGGAUCUCAUCUUUCAUUUGAUAAGUGAAUGAGAUACCUAGCUAACUUAAUCAAGGCAAUCAGGUUGUGUGUCAUGGAAGCUGAAAUGUACUCUCUACAACUGGUUUUGUUUUUGUCAAAGUCAAUGGAUAGUCAUGAAACAAGUGGGAGACAGAUUUUAAUUUAAUUAAUCCUUAACUGUGGAUGAGGAAGAAUCACGAUUCUGUGAUUAGCUGCUGUUCAUGGCUGAGCGGUGCUCACUUGAAGCAGCAGUCACCGGUCAUUUGUGUUCCGUUACCCUGGAGAAUGGAAAUCACUGGGACAAGAACUGCUGGCUUGGAGGAAGAACUGCGAUAUGGACAUUCAGCCCAGUGACCUUCAGGCCAUGUCUCUAUCAGCAUUUUUGUUAGCAGCAGGAGGGUGUUUAGGGAAGUGGUUGCUCCACACUGGAGGCAAUAUCUAACCAGGAUGCCAGUUGAGACAGAGCUCAAUUUCUGGUCCAUCGGGAGACCACCAAUUCCUACCAGGUGUGAAUCACCAGAAGAGAAGGGGAGCUACUUGAGGAAUUAUGGAUAUGAACAGUAACCUGAAAUGUGGAGGGUGUGCAUGAUAUCAGUGCAGCCUGGGUCUAUUUCGCAAGCUGGAUUUAUGUGUUGAACUUGGUGUUAAUGUCUUCCCGCUAACUCUCAAAUUUACAGCUCUUGUGAUUAUGAAAUCUUCAUUUUUCCAUUCUAAAGACAAAGUCAGGCAAUGAGAAAAGGAAAAAUUGUCACCAAUUUAAGUGUUUGCUCAGUGUUAAUAUCAGGAGGAGUAAAGACUCUUCCAUUUACAGUGCAAUGUUAACCCACUUUCCAAGUCCAUACAGUAAUUAUAUGCUUCUUACAAUUGAGACUAUUACUUAAUUACAUUCUUCAAAUGAUGAAGUUAGAUCCAAAGCAACUGUGUAUUUAACCUAUAAUAAUAUAUAACUUCAAUAUAAAUAGCCCUGAUAUUAAACAGGCAAUAGUUACUCUGUAUAAACACAGUUUUAUAUAUAUAAAUCCACUGAUAAAAUGUACUUUUAAAGCUGUAUCUUUAGUGUUGUGAUCUUAAU